ACCGAUUUUAUUAGAAACAUAGCAACAUUUUGAAACACUAAACUAAUAUCAUUAGCUCUGUUUUGAAAUGUAAUUUCAUUAUAUACCGAUUGGCUAGCUACCGAUUGGCAUAUGUGUCGCUACUCUUUUCAACAAAGUUGGCCGAAUCUAUUUUUUUACAUAAAUCAAAACCUAGAAGUGCCUCGAACGAACCAUCAAUUUGGUUGACCCCAGUUUUUUUUUUUCAGUCUUGAUUACGUAUGUGCUUUACAAACAAUUUCGGCACUUUUCAGUAAACGAAAGGGUCUCGAACGUACGUUCCUGUACACCCUCCUAAACAUAAAGUGUUUUAGGUUAAAAUUUCCUAUGACUUGGAAAAACAAGGGGGCUACACUUUCACGAUAGCCCGUCCGCAAUCCAGGCGUUUUUUUUGCUGAAUCACAAAUCCCAGUGCCACGCCAUCAAAUCCGGUCCACCAAACGGCUUUGGCUGGGAUUAAGGGGUUCAUUGGCCGGGAUUAGGUAGGUUAGGUCCCGAAAAUCCGAAACUAGAAUGUCACGGUUUGAAUCAGACGAGUUCUACGAGAACAAGAUUUAACAUGGACUUUUCUCCUUACCAGGACUAAAGAGCUACCGGAUCGGGUUGGGGUUAAUUGUAGUAGGAUCUA
rnacentral:lncRNA from 1 species